rnacentral:rRNA from 1 species
GACGAACGCUGGCGGCGUGCUUAACACAUGCAAGUCGAACGGAAAGGCCCUGCUUGCCGGGUACUCGAGUGGCGAACGGGUGAGUAACACGUGGGUGAUCUGCCCUGCACUUCGGGAUAAGCCUGGGAAACUGGGUCUAAUACCGGAUAGGAGCCAUUUUUAGUGUGAUGGUUGGAAAGUUUUUUCGGUGUAGGAUGAGCUCGCGGCCUAUCAGCUUGAUGGUGGGGUAAUGGCCUACCAAGGCGGCGACGGGUAGCCGGCCUGAGAGGGUGGACGGCCACAUUGGGACUGAGAUACGGCCCAGACUCCUACGGGAGGCAGCAGUGGGGAAUAUUGCACAAUGGGCGCAAGCCUGAUGCAGCGACGCCGCGUGGGGGAUGACGGCCUUCGGGUUGUAAACUCCUUUCGCUAGGGACGAAGCUUUUUGUGACGGUACCUAGAUAAGAAGCACCGGCUAACUACGUG